rnacentral:rRNA from 1 species
GUUAAGUCAGGCAACGAGCGAGACCCACGCCCACAGUUGCCAGCGUACUCUCUGGAGUGACGGGUACACUGUGGGGACCGCCGCUGGCUAAAGCGGAGGAAGGAAUGGGCAACGGUAGGUCAGUAUGCCCCGAAUAUCCCGGGCUACACGCGAGCUACAAUGGUUGGUACAAUGGGUAUCUACCCCGAAAGGGGACGGGAAUCUCCUAAACCAAUCUUAGUUCGGAUUGAGGGCUGCAACUCGCCCUCAUGAAGCUGGAAUCCGUAGUAAUCGCGUUUCAACAGAACGCGGUGAAUACGUCCCUGCUCCUU